rnacentral:rRNA from 1 species
CACAGAGUUAGCCGGUGCUUAUUCUGCGAGUAACGUCCACUAUCCUAGAGUAUUAAUCCAAGUAGCCUCCUCCUCGCUUAAAGUGCUUUACAACCAUAAGGCCUUCUUCACACACGCGGCAUGGCUGGAUCAGGGUUCCCCCCAUUGUCCAAUAUUCCCCA